AGAGAACGCUGGCGGCAGGCUUAACACAUGCAAGUCGAGCGGGCAUCCUUGUGGUGUCAGCGGCAGACGGGUGAGUAACGCGUGGGAACGUGCCCUUCGGUUCGGAAUAACUCAGGGAAACUUGAGCUAAUACCGGAUACGUGCGAGAGCAGAAAGGUUUAUCUGCCGAAGGAUCGGCCCGCGUCUGAUUAGCUAGUUGGUGAGGUUACGGCUCACCAAGGCGACGAUCAGUAGCUGGUCUGAGAGGAUGAUCAGCCACACUGGGACUGAGACACGGCCCAGACUCCUACGGGAGGCAGCAGUGGGGAAUAUGGGACAAUGGGGGCAACCCUGAUCCAGCCAUGCCGCGUGAGUGAUGACGGCCUUAGGGUUGUAAAGCUCUUUUCUCCGGGACGAUAAUGACGGUACCGGAGGAAGAAGCCCCGGCUAACUGCGU
rnacentral:rRNA from 1 species